UACGGGGGGGGUAAGCGUUGUUCGGAAUUACUGGGCGUAAAGCGCGUGUAGGCGGCUUGGCAAGUCGGAUGUGAAAGCCCACGGCUCAACCGUGGAAGCGCAUCCGAAACUGCUUCGCUCGAGUCUCGGAGAGGAAGGUGGAAUGCUUGGUGUAGAGGUGAAAUUCGUAGAUAUCAAGCAGAACACCUGCGGCGAAGGCGGCCUUCUGGACGAUGACUGACGCUGAGACGCGAAAGCGUGGGGAGCAAACAGG
rnacentral:rRNA from 1 species